UGGUUACAAAUCGUAAUAUAGAUAUGUGA
rnacentral:piRNA from 1 species